CAUCCUACCGGGCCGGGGAGAACACCAUGAUCAAAAUGCGGUUUUCCAACCAGCGAAGGCUCUCCAUGCACUCCGCCGGCUGGACCCCUUCGAAUUCCCCAAAUGUGGGAAUCUCGACGGCAAAUUUAUGGUAAGUGGGGAGACCUUGGCGGUUCCGCGCUUCUCCCUG